rnacentral:rRNA from 1 species
GACGAACGCUGGCGGCGUGCUUAACACAUGCAAGUCGAACGGAGUUACGUUUUCGGAUGUAACUUAGUGGCGAACGGGUGAGUAACGCGUGAGGAACCUGCCCUUCAGUGGGGGACAACAGUUGGAAACGACUGCUAAUACCGCAUAAUGUCACGAGGCCGCAUGACCUUGUGACCAAAGGAUUUAUUCGCUGAAGGAUGGGCUCGCGUCCGAUUAGGUAGUUGGUGAGGUAACGGCUCACCAAGCCGACGAUCGGUAGCCGAACUGAGAGGUUGAACGGCCACAUUGGGACUGAGACACGGCCCAGACUCCUACGGGAGGCAGCAGUGGGGAAUAUUGCGCAAUGGGGGAAACCCUGACGCAGCAACGCCGCGUGAAGGAAGAAGGCCUUCGGGUUGUAAACUUCUGUCUUUAGGGAAGAAAAAAUGACGGUACCUAAGGAGGAAGCCACGGCUAACUACGUG